CCACCGCUCGGACCCGCUUCGCCGACCGCGGGCGGAGCGAGCAGCCGCCGGGUGCCCAGGAACGCGCUUCCUCCGUUAGUCUGCCGGCUGUUUGGCGUGGGCUUCGCUGGGCUGAGGCGGCGACGAGAGACCCUCCUUCAGGGUUGCCCUCAGCCCCGGGAGCUCCCUGCGGCGCUCACCCGCAGGGACGGAAUAUGCUGCCCAAAUGCCUCGGAGGUAUGAAGUUACUGCUGGAAAACAAAGAAACUGCCAAGGAGUUGGCAAUCGCAUCUGCCCCGAGGUUCAGCUUUUUCCCCAAAGUCCAAAUUAUCAAGUAUGCCAACAAUGAAGAAGACAAGGAAACCCUAACAGUGUAAGAGCAGAACAGUAGGGUCACUUAUGGUCCCACCCGUGGCUUGUGACCUGAAUGUAAAACAAGAUGAAGCUUGGAUGGAGGAUCGACGCUGGAAGAAAAUACCAGUGAGAUCCAGAUAAUGAUAGAUGAAGCUAAGGAUGUGGAGAUUUUCAGCUGACCAACUAACUGCGUGGAAUUUCAAGAACCCAAAUGGUUGGCAAAGGGUUACUCCAUUUCUCAUGUGGCAUUUCUUGGGAUCCGUCACUGUCAAACAUAUGUGCUUUUGAAAAGUAACUGUACUUCCCUUUUAAAUAAUAUUUGCACUUUUUGCCUUUUCCUACUCUAAGUAGGUAAAUAUUUUGAGCAUUUGAAGUUGUCACGCUAUUGUUGAAUCUUGGGGAGAAGUUCCCACGUGAUCCCUAUCUUUAAAAAGGAAGAACGAAAUCAAGCAUAUUAAAACAGUCACUUAACUUUAUUGAUUGGAGACUAUUUUAGGGGCCCAGGAAUCGAUAAGUAAGGCUUCAUCGGUGCUCACC